CUCCAAAGUCCUUGAGUAGAGUUAGUUAAAUAGUAUAUCGAUUGAGGUCAACUAUAACUAAAUUCUCCAAGUCUCUCAAUUCUAACCCUUGUAGUCUGGUAAACUUCUAUAGCUACCUCUUCCUGCACCUUUAUGGGCGCUAAAUAAUCAGUCACUCUAACAGUGGCGGCUCUAGAAUGUGUGAGGCCUUAGGCCAAACUAAAACAUGAGGCCCCCACUGACAAAGUUAGUGUUUGGAGGAGGGUUUGUGACAGAACGAGGGGACAUGAGUGUGACAAGAUUAAGGCAGGUUAAUGUGGCACAAUUAGAGUCAUUAAUGUGAGUGUGGCAGGGUGAAGAGGGUGAAUGAGACAGGCUGAUAGAGGAUAAGUGUGACAGGGUUGGGGGUGAGUGUGACAGUGCGAGAGAACGUGAGUCUGGCAGGAUUGGGUGGGGCGUUAAUGUGAUAGGGUGAGUGUGGCAAAGUGAGGGCGGGUGAGUUUGGUAUGGUUGGAGGGGGUGAGAGUGACAGGAUUUGGAGGGGUUAAUGUGAGUGGGACUGGAUGAAGGGGGCUGUGACAGGGUGGUGGGCUGUGACAGGGAUGGGGGCUGUGACAAGGUAGGGGGGCUGUGAAAAGGUAGGGGGGACUGUGACAGGGUUGGAGGGCUGUGAAAAGGUGGAGGGGCGAUGACAGGGUAGGGGGGCUGUGGCAGAGUAGGGGGGCUGUGGAGAGGCUGUGACAGGGUUGGGGGACUGUGGCAAGGUGGAGGGGAUGUGACAGGGUGAGGGGGCUGUGAUAGGAUUGGGGGGCUGUGACAGGCAAUAGGGGGCUGUGACAGGGUAGGGGGUCUUUUAUAUCUUCCCUGGUGGUCUGGUGGAUUCCCUUGGUGGUCUGGUGGGCUGGUUCUCUGGUCUGCAGCCCUGCUGGGUGCAGAGCUGCAGACCACAUGAUAGGAGUCUCGUGAUCUAUUGUCAGAGUGUUGCCGUGGUAACCUCCAGCUACGCAC